AACUUUUUGGAGUAGUCGUUAACGACACAUGGAAAUUAAGCAACAAUAAAGCAUCCAUCAUUGUCGAAUUGAUAUAUUUUUUAUUUGAAAAACUUCAUAUAAAUAAUUAAUCACAAUGUCUAGUCGUGAAGGAGGCAAAAAAAAGCCACUAAAAGCACCAAAAAAAGAAGUCAAGGAUCUUGAUGAAGAUGAUCUUGCAUUCAAGCAAAAACAGAAGGAAGCACAAAAAGCUCUUGCUGAAGCUGC